rnacentral:rRNA from 1 species
AUUGAACGCUGGCGGCAUGCCUUACACAUGCAAGUCGAACGGCAGCGGGGGAGAAGCUUGCUUUUCCUGCCGGCGAGUGGCGAACGGGUGAGUAAUACAUCGGAACGUGCCCUGUAGUGGGGGAUAACUAGUCGAAAGAUUAGCUAAUGCCGCAUACGACCUGAGGGUGAAAGUGGGGGACCGCAAGGCCUCAUGCUAUAGGAGCGGCCGAUGUCUGAUUAGCUAGUUGGUGGGGUAAAGGCCUACCAAGGCGACGAUCAGUAGCUGGUCUGAGAGGACGAUCAGCCAUAGGGGGAGUGAGACACGGCCCAGACUCCUACGGGAGGCAGCAGUGGGGAAUUUUGGACAAGGGGCGAAAGCCUGAUUCAGCAAUGCCGCGUGUGUGAAGAAGGCCUUCGGGUUGUAAAGCACUUUUGUCCGGAAAGAAAUGGCUCUGGUUAAUACCUGGGGUCGAUGACGGUACCGGAAGAAUAAGGACCGGCUAACUACGUGCCAGCAGCCGCCGUAA